rnacentral:rRNA from 1 species
UACAGAGGGUGCGAGCGUUAAUCGGAAUUACUGGGCGUAAAGCGUGCGUAGACGGCUAUCUAAGUCGGGUGUGAAAGCCCCGGGCUCAACCUGGGAAUUGCAUUCGAGACUGAAUAGCUAGGGUACGGUAGAGGGAAGCGGAAUUUCCGGUGUAGCGGUGAAAUGCGUAGAUAUUCGGAAGAACACCAGUGGCGAAGGCGACUCACUGGACACGUAUUGACGCUGAGGUGCGAAAGCGUGGGGAGCAAACAGGGAUUAAGAAACCCCGGU